AGUGUGGCUGCUGAGCUGAGUAGCGGCAGACUGUGCUUCGCGGCGUGGAAAGGGGCCGGAGAUUCGUAUCCAGUGUGGCACGAGUGACAGGAACACCUUCAAAGCUUCCAGGCUUGUGACAUAAUCCUGGAGUUUCUCCACAUAGUCCUGGCUGUUCUGGAACUCGCUCUAUAGACCAGACUGGCCUCGAACUUAAGAGAUCUGCAGAGGUAUCAGAGGGAAGUGGAACAGGAUAGAAAUCUACAGGGACUCUCCAAGACAUUCUCACCCAGAGUAUUGUGACACAGAACUAUAUACCUGGGUCUGCUCCAGCUCUGUCCCUCGAGCCGCAGCGUAUGUUGGUGCAGCCCCAGGAUGGCUCUGCAUAGAAACUGCAGGUAUCUUUCGCUGUGGCUGUCGACGUGCCAGCUUUACAGCGAAAUCCCAAAGCUGUAAGCAGUGCAGAUUUUUCUCUUCCCGCUAGGCCUGACACUGUCCUUGAGGACUUAGGAAACAAAAGGUCAAGAGAACAUGAGCAUGAACCCCACAAAAUAAGCUUUCAACUUGAAAAUUGACCACACACAUAAGAUAGGCAGGAAAUCCUGCCAUGUGGGUACCCCUGUGGCCCACACACCUUGGGGUCACAUCCCUCUGGCCUGCACAAGCAGCUGUUUGCUGAAGAUGGACCUUGGGUAGCAUUUCAGCUCCACCGCUGGUUGCUGCAGAGGGGUGGGUAGAGACAAAGAACCACACUCCUUGGAGUUCCUUGCCCACAGGAUGAAGAUAGGACCAUGUGCCACCUGAUGUGAUGCUUAUAGAAGAACCCUCUCAAAUGGUGGUCCCAUAAAAGUAAUCUCAUCUGGUGACAUUCUGUGAAUAUAUUUUGCAGUAUUGGCAACACAGUGAAACCACUUAUUUAUAGACUUCUCAGAACAUAUCCUUGUCAAAAAGCAAAGCAGCGCCACGCUGAAACCUGCCUGGGACGCCUCCCAACUGCUUUAAGAAACUCAUGGCACUGCUGGACACUUGCCUUACUCAGUGUCUGGGUUCCAUCUUUUGUGGCCAUGAAGAGGAGGAGCAUGCUGCCCUCCACUGAGACCAUGGGGUCUGUAUAGCACAUCUGCCAGGUGAUUUCCUGGGGGUUUUCAAAAUGUUAGCACUGAGUCCAUUCUCAGAGACUCUGAUCUGGUUGGCACUGGGAACUUUUAAAAACACUUCUUGUCAUUUGCAUCUUAUCUGCCACUCUAUGCCAGCCCCGGGCACCCACCACCCACCACUUGCUGGAGAGUCUCAUCACUCCCUCUGUGGUGGUUUGAAUACGCUUGGCCCAAAAGUGGCACUAUUAGGAGCUGUGGCCCUGUUGGAGUAGGUGUGUCACAGUGGGUGUGAGCUUCAAAGGGUCUCAAAGCCUUGUCCAGGCUGCCUGGAAGACGGUCUUCUCCUAGCAGCCUUCAGAUGAAGAUGUAGAACUCUCAGAUCCUCCUGCUCCAUGCCUGCCUGGACACUGGCAUGCUCCUGCCUUAAUAAUGGACUGAACCUCUGAACCUGUAAGCCAGACCCAAAUAAAUAUUGUCCUUAU
rnacentral:lncRNA from 1 species